UCCAACCUGCCGAUGACUCGGGGAUAGCCUUUCGAAAGAAAGAUUAAUACCCGAUGGCAUAGUUCUUCCGCAUGGUAGAACUAUUAAAGAAUUUCGGUCAUCGAUGGGGAUGCGUUCCAUUAGGUUGUUGGCGGGGUAACGGCCCACCAAGCCUUCGAUGGAUAGGGGUUCUGAGAGGAAGGUCCCCCACAUUGGAACUGAGACACGGUCCAAACUCCUACGGGAGGCAGCAUG
rnacentral:rRNA from 1 species